rnacentral:tRNA from 1 species
GCGGCUGUGGUCUAGCGGUUAUGACAGGGGCUUCCCAGCGGCCUUUUGUAUGCCUACCAGAAGGCGGGAAACAGCCUCUAACCCGGGUUCGAAUCCCGGCAGCCGCA